ensembl:lncRNA
CCAAGGAUUAGACACAGCGGGCUUUACAAUUUAAUGAAAACAGCUGUUGAAACAACAAUUAAGGCAAACAAUAGUUUGCCUGGAAAACUAUUAAUUAUGUAAAGUUAUGCAGAAAGUGGAAUACGCUUUUAUUCAGGGCCUUCUACAGCCACCGAGCUGCCUUCCAUUCCAGGGCUCUCAAGUGUCAGGAAGUGGGGGUGCUGGUAGGAAGCGGCUACACUGCCUGUGGAGUGAAAUCUCUUGAAGUAUGCAAGAAGCACACUAUUGAACAAGGAUUGUACGUCCUGCGUGAUGCAGACAGCUGAGAUGUUAGGCUGAAACGAUAAACUAUGUCAUAACAGAAAAAUCCCUGUGAAGUUCUCCAAAGAAUGCUAUGCUACUUCCAGACCCUGCAACUAUAAUUAUGCCUUGCAUAAUUAAGCCAGAAAGAACAUCCCCUGCCAACUCUAAGCACCCCUGUUUACAUCAAAAAGCAAUAGCAAAAUGUACUCUAGAAGGUUCUGGCCAAAGUAAUUGAGUGGGCUGCCUGAGCCUAGCGCUGCUUUCUAAAUAUUGUCCCUGGGUUAGGAACUGGAGGGACAAGGAGGGAGGGAAGCACGUAGGAGAAUGCGCCAGAGGCCUAUUGACUUUUCCUGCCUGGGAAUGAUGUCAUGGAGUUCAGUGACAUUGGGGGCUGGUGUCAACUGAAGUCUCAUGGCACAUUCGCCCAGGUGCUUCUACUGGGGAGCUUCAGACCUGUCGCUCCAUUACGUGUUGGCCUUCAUAUGCUCUGAAUCCCUGAACUCACAUGAAAAGGUUCAGAGCGUUAGGCCAGGGUGUAGACACAUUCUUGACAUCGAGGAGUACAAAGAGGAUUCUUCUGCUUGCAGUUCAAUCAGUCUUUCUUUGGAGCUUUCUUUGUAGGUUGCUGCAGCUGGAACAUGAAAAGAGAGACACAGACAAACAGAGAAAGACAGAGAGACCGAGAAAAAGAAAAAAAUAGCAAGGCAC